UACAGAGGUCUCAAGCGUUGUUCGGAUUCAUUGGGCGUAAAGGGUGCGUAGGUGGCGCUGUAAGUCAGGUGUGAAAUUUCGGAGCUUAACUCCGAAACUGCAUUUGAUACUGCGGUGCUUGAGGACUGGAGAGGAGACUGGAAUUUACGGUGUAGCAGUGAAAAUGCGUAGAGAUCGUAAGGAAGACCAGUGGCGAAGGCGGCUUACUGGUCCAUAACUGACGCUGAGGUGCGAAAGCGUGGGGAGCAAACAGG
rnacentral:rRNA from 1 species